AGUGAACGCUGGCGGUAGGCCUAACACAUGCAAGUCGAACGGCAGCACAGUAAGAGCUUGCUCUUACGGGUGGCGAGUGGCGGACGGGUGAGGAAUACAUCGGAUUCUACUUUUUCGUGGGUGAUAACGUAGGGAAACUUACGCUAAUACCGCAUAUGACCUACGGGUGAAAGCAGUGGAUCUUCGCACCUUUCGCGAUUCAAUUAGCCGAUGUCGGAUUAGCUAGUUGGCGGGGUAAAGGCCCACCAAGGCGACGAUCCGUAGCUGGUCUGAGAGGAUGAUCAGCCACACUGGAACUGAGACACGGUCCAGACUCCUACGGGAGGCAGCAGUGGGGAAUAUUGGACAAUGGGCGAAAGCCUGAUCCAGCAAUACCGCGUGGGUGAAGAAGGCCUUCGGGUUGUAAAGCCCUUUUGUUAGGAAAGAAAAGCAGCAGGUUAAUACCCCGCUGUUCUGACGGUACCCAAAGAAUAAGCAACGGCUAACUUCGUG
rnacentral:rRNA from 1 species